rnacentral:lncRNA from 1 species
CGCACGAGCACUCAGCUAGUUAUAAUUUAAGCGAGGACAGGAAUCCACAAGCGUUCAUAGGGAUCCGCACGAAAAAAGAAAUUCGUGGCGGAGACAGGGAUAAGGAGCUAAAAACUGAUGAGGAAUAUUCCUAUGCCAUCCCUACACCCACCCACCCAAAAAAAGUUUGAGAAAACUAAAGCUGGCAAAACAUAUUCUGCAAACACAGAUGCAAUAAGACGCGAUCUAGCAGUACGCCAAAUAGAUUUGGGAAUCUCAGCUCAGGGGCGCAAAACCGCAAGACCUGAUUCCUGAAACCGAACAGCGUGUUUCCGACAUCUUUUCAGUGACAACUAGAACUAGCCACCACGAAACCGUCUGGAUGGUCCAGGAGCAAAUGCUUGCAACAAGUUCAGGAGAUUCCCGUCCAGUCUGCUUCAAGAUGGCAUGUGCAAAGCUUUAUCCCAAGCUUCUGCAACAGAGUUGCGGGACGUGUCCCGCAGAUUGUGAGCCAGUAUCUGCUUGUUCCCCUGAGCUACAGAUUAAAACGAUCAUAAAGUGUAUCAGAUCAAUCUUAUAGUAAUGAUAGGUUAGUUUAGAGUCAUGUCUUUUAGUAUAUAUUAUUUUCAAAGAAAAAAAAACAGUUCAACAAAAAUGUAGGCAAGUGGAGCACAUGUUGCAGCAAUUUGACCUCAAAUUAACUUAACAGCAUAUCUAAGUAAUGGGAUCCAAGGUCUAAGUUGUCAGCUACAACCUCAUGCUCUCUGCAUGAAUAUGCUAGCACCCAUUUGCUAAAAUGUUCCUCCUUUUAGCUGUUCGGCUGCUGGCUGAACAGCUGCUCCACAGCCAUCCUUCACACAUGGCCAGCUGCGGCAGCAUAAGUACAGCCGAACUUCUCUCCAAGGACGCAAUAGAGUUGUGCGUCAUUCCAAUAAGGAAAAUGCAAAAGAGAAGCAAAAGGCCUACUCCCACACACCCACACAAUGACACAAAAGCUUAUAAUUUGCUGAGUGAGUAUUCUUAGAAACUGGAGGCUUUGGCUGUCUUAAUAAGCAACAAGAGAAAUGCCUAGAUCAAGGGAAGUACUUUGGCCCUGAACUGUUUUUUUUUAUCAAAAACCAGAAACCGCAGGUCAGUUUAAAAUCAGCAAAUCUCUCCUGUUGACAACCAUGAAUACAGCUUGUGUUCUGGUAAACAAGUGUUGCCGUCAGCUCCCUACAAAUUUAUGCAGAAGCAGGGUGUAGCAAAAAAAAAAAGAACGAGAGGGGGCAACAAACUGAAAAAAAACACUGCCAUGUGAUAGCAGAGGCUCUGCGUUGCAAGCAGUCAAACAACAACAAAGCUGCCAUGCAGGUACCUUGGAUGCUGGUUUGAUCCAUAGAUAACGAUGAUUGCAGUGGAACAUCUAUGUUCCCCUUGAAUUUUUUUCUAUGCUCCAACGUGCUUCAUGAUAACACCUGGUGAAAAUUGCAGGGAACACCAGUUAAAAUCCAAGUACUGGUCCCCAGACACCUAAAACUAAAACUAGUGCAGCAGCCUAGAAUGUGGUGAAUGUAUCCAAAGCUAAAGAAUUAUUAAGCUUCUAAAAGCUUGCUAUGCACUACAGCAGCAGUAUAGAAGAAUCGGAUUAAUGACUACUACAAGCACUUUUUUUCAUUUCUAACCCAUUUUGUUACCUUUCCUAGCUUGACCACUGCAAUUCAGCAUAAACAAUACUGCUACCAUAAUAACAAAGGGAUCAAUUGAGAUGCAGAAUAUGGCAUCCAUUUAAAAUGUGAGCAACAAAUGUGUACGACAGCAUGGAAUCUUACUUGGAAGUUUCAGGUUAUCACGCACACAACAAAACUAGGGCCUCCAUCUUGCCAUGAAGCAUAAAAGAGUCCCAAGUUCCAGAAAAUCGCCACUAUCCACAGCACAUAUGGGGGAAAAUACUGUUUCACUUUCAUGUAUUUAUGGAUCAGGAGUGAAGCAUCAGGGCAAAUGGCUCACAUACUACUCCCAAGUGAAUAGGAUUUGCAUGCAUCAAUGAAUAUGUACCCAG